AAGCACUGUUUGUGACCUGUUAAUGUUGCUGUGGCUAACAGGUUCCAUUCCAGUUCUACAGCAGUCCCAGUGACCCGGGAUUGACUGACUGGUGGCUCGCAGUUUCAGGUCUUGGAGACAAGC